AAUGAUCGCGGCUGCGAAAAGGAAACGUCGCAGGUGAGGAAAGUCCGGGCUUCAUAGGGCAGGGUGCCGGAUAACGUCCGGUAGAGGCGACUCUCAGGCUAGUGCAACAGAAAUAAACCGCCAGUGUACACUGGUAAGGGUGGAAAGGCGAGGUAAGAGCUCACCGCUAUUUUGGUAACAGAAUAGGCUCUGUAAACCCCACUCGAAGCAAGACCGCAUAGGGGACCAUGUGGCUGCCCGUCACGUCUCCGGGUAGGUCGCUUGAACCUGUUGGUAACAGCAGGUCUAGAUAGAUGAUCAUUCAACGACAUAACCCGGCUUAUCGAUCAAGUC
rnacentral:RNase_P_RNA from 1 species